GCGGGAUUAGUUUAGUGGUAGAAUGCGACCUUCCCAAGGUUGAGGCGCGGGUUCGAUUCCCGCAUCCCGCA
rnacentral:tRNA from 1 species